rnacentral:rRNA from 1 species
AACCUGCCCAAGAGAUCGGGAUAACACCUGGAAACAGAUGCUAAUACCGGAUAACAAUAGAUGAUGCCUAUCAACUGUUUAAAAGAUGGUUCUGCUAUCACUCUUGGAUGGACCUGCGGUGCAUUAGCUAGUUGGUAGGGUAACGGCCUACCAAGGCGAUGAUGCAUAGCCGAGUUGAGAGACUGAUCGGCCACAUUGGGACUGAGACACGGCCCAAACUCCUACGGGAGGCAGCAGUG